UACGAAGGGUGCAAGCGUUAAUCGGAAUUACUGGGCGUAAAGGGUGCGUAGGCGGUUCGUUAAGUCUGUCGUGAAAUCCCCGGGCUCAACCUGGGAAUGGCGAUGGAUACUGGCGAGCUAGAGUGUGUCAGAGGAUGGUGGAAUUCCCGGUGUAGCGGCGAAAUGCGUAGAGAUCGGGAGGAACACCAGUGGCGAAGGCGGCCUUCUGGACCAGUACUGACGCUCAUGCACGAAAGCGUGGGGAGCAAACAGG
rnacentral:rRNA from 1 species